GUGACUGCGGAGAUCAUU
rnacentral:rRNA from 1 species